GUUAAUCAUUUCCGUCUUACAGAGAGCUGAUCUCUGCAUCGCCUCAAAGAAGGUGGAGCUGCUGGGAAAGAAUCGCUGCACUUGGGGACCAAAGUACUGGUGCAGGGACGUUCAGACUGCUAAGAAAUGUGGUAAUCAGGCCUUCUGUGAGAAGUUCAUGUGGAAGGAGUGAAAGCUCGGGUCUGCUCUGAAAAUAUAUCUGCACUUUCAAAUAAAAAUGUUAUUACACUAAUCAACGAUUGAGUUCUACAUAUAUAUGCACUGAUCAACUUUGAUUUCUUGAGAUUAGGAUCUUGUUUGCUUUUUUUUUUUAUAAUUAACUGAAUUGAGCCAUAAAUGAAUGUCUCGUGAUUUCCUCCAGCUUGCAUGUAGUGUCAUAAGACUUGAGGCUGGAGUUCAGUCUGGAGGGUUUCCUGUUCUGUGCACUGUGUCAUUCACUAAAAAUGCUUCAAAUAUGUUUUUGUGAAUGUGGAAACUGUAAGAGCCGUUGUCCAUCUUCACAUAAGAUGAACUUUCAGUAUGUAAUAAAACACUAUCGGACAACUGACCACACAAAGAA